AAGGGAAGGGAUUUCAUAGCAACAUUGCAUUUGGAGCUAAAUUGUACUUUCCUGUGACAAAGAUGGUAGAUCAUAAGAAUAAAGAUCCUACGUAGGCUCAACUUCUUCAUGUUCAAUGAAUUGUGAUGGGUUCUUGACAUUAUUUUUUGGACAGCAACCUGUAGCAGCUUUACUUUUUGACAGCUUUCUUAAAUUGUAAGACUCAUGUCAUCUAUUAAAGAACAAAAGAAACAGUUAUCAGUGAAGAGGAAACCUACAGAAUGGGAGAAAUGUUUGUAAACAACUCAUCUGAUAAAUUAUUAAUAUACAGCAUCUAUAAAGACUCAAAUGACUUAAAUGAGAAAAUGUAUACUUGAAGACUGAAUGCCUGACAAGACUGAAAGGAACACUUGGCCAACACCCAAAGGUUUUAUCUUACCCAAUAUAGAAGUCACCCAGAUUAUGGAUCUGAAGAAUUCCCAAGGAAGAGAACCAAAUACAGAAUACAGAUAGAAAGAUUUUUCUUAUUAAUAU
rnacentral:lncRNA from 1 species